rnacentral:rRNA from 1 species
GGAGUUAGCCGGUGCUUCUUCUGUGAGUGAUGUCCUUCCUGCCGGCUAUUAACCCGCAGGCCUUCUUCCUCACUGAAAGUGCUUUACAACCCGAAGGCCUUCUUCACACACGCGGCAUGGCUGGAUCAGGGUUGCCCCCAUUGUCCAAUAUUCCCCACUGCUGCCUCCCGUAGGAGUCUGGGCCGUGUCUCAGUCCCAGUGUGGCUGAUCAUCCUCUCAGACCAGCUACGGAUCGUCGCCUUGGUGAGCCGUUACCUCACCAACCAGCUAAUCCGACAUAGGCUCAUCCGAUAGCGCGAGGCCCGAAGGUCCCCCGCUUUCCCCCGUAGGGCGUAUGCGGUAUUAGCCUGGGUUUCCCCAGGUUAUCCCCCACUACCGGGCAGAUUCCCUAUGCAUUACUCACCCGUCCGCCGCUCGCCACCAGGGAGCAAGCUCCCCGUGCUGCCGCUCGACUUGCAUGUGUUAGGCCUCGCCGCCACGCGUUCAAUCUGAGCCAGAAUACAACUACUGA